CAGUAGCCGCGGUAAUACGUAGGUCCCGAGCGUUGUCCGGAUUUAUUGGGCGUAAAGCGAGCGCAGGCGGUUAGAUAAGUCUGAAGUUAAAGGCUGUGGCUUAACCAUAGUACGCUUUGGAAACUGUUUAACUUGAGUGCAAGAGGGGAGAGUGGAAUUCCGUGUGUAGCGGUGAAAUGCGUAGAUAUAUGGAGGAACACCGGUGGCGAAAGCGGCUCUCUGGUUUGUAACUGACGCUGAGGCUCGAAAGCGUGGGGAGCAAACGGGAUUAGAUACCCCCGUAGUCCCUGUCUCUUAUACA
rnacentral:rRNA from 1 species